GAGUCGCCCGGCAGGUUGGGCCUCGCCCCUGCCACCUCCCAGUCCAGACUCCUCGGAUGGUGAGGACUGUGGGGCGGGGACCAGCCCGAGACCAGCGAAGCUCCGCCGCCGGCUGACGCGCCGGAGAAAAGUUGUUUCUCGACCUUCUCUCGCUGGGUGAUUUGUCCCUCUCGGGUCCUCAGGCUGAGUUGGAGCCAGGGCUGGAGGUCACCGCGCCCAGACGCGCGAGGGCAGCUGCCCCGGCGCCUGGAGUUGAGUGUUGGGCCCGGAGGAGCGGGCUCAGUCCUCUGUUGCGCGCUGUGCGCUGGCGGCUCGGUUGUUUCCCCCGACCUCGGACUGCCGCACAAACUUUCUGACUGUCGAGGGGACACCGCGUGGCAGGAGGAUCCGCGGUCGCACGCAGAAGUCAUAUUAUAUCUGGAACCUGCGAUGAAGAGCGCAUUUGUGACCAUCGGGACCACCAGUUUCGAUGACCUCGUCGCUCGUGUGGUCACCAGCAAUAGCAUUCAGAUCCUCAAGAGUCUGGGUUACAACCAACUGGUCCUCCAAAUUGGUAGAGGCACUGUGGUGCCCGAACCAUUCAGUACUGAGUCAUUCACUCUGUAUGUGUAUGGGUAUAAGGACUCUUUGAAAGGAGGCUUUCAGCUGGCUGAUCUUGUCAUUAGCCAUGCAGGUACAGGAAGCUGUUUGGAGAGUCUGGGAAAAGGCAAGCCACUUGUGGUAGUUGUAAAUGGAAAGUUAAUGAACAAUCAUCAGUUUGAACUGGCAAAGCAGUUGUACAAAGAAGGUCACCUCCUCUACUGUACCUGCAGCAUGCUUCCUGAGCUGUUACAGUCAAUGGAUUUGCCAACGCUGAAAUGUUAUCCUCCUGGUCAGCCAGAGACAUUUUCUGCAUUUUUGGAUAAAGUUGUUGGAUUACAAAAAUAAACUCUCUACACUUUAAAAUACCCCUAAAUCUAGUUCAUGGAAUAUGAUUAAAGCAAAAUAAAUUGAUGACAUGUAUUUGAGGAACAAUAUAAAUCAAUAUAUUUAUUAUAAAAAUAUUAUAAGGGAUUUUGUGGCAUAAACAUUCCGGUUGGGUCUAGAUCCUAAUUUUAGUAAAUGUUUGCAGUUUCCCUAACUUUGAAUAUGUAGCCUUCAGUUUUGCCCUAAAAUUUCAAAGAAGCAAAAGCUGGGCAGUGGUGGCGCAUGCCUUUAAUUCUAGCCUUUGGGAGCCAGAAGCAGAUGUUAUCUCUGUGAGUUCAAGGCCAUUCUGGUCUGCAUAUCGAGUUCUAGGACAGCCAAGGCUACCCAGAGAAAUCCUGUUUCCAAAAACCAAAACAAUUCAAAAAUGUUAAUAAGAAACAAAUAUUAGAUGUUAUUUUGAAUAUGCUAACAAUGUAACAUUUUGGUGAGAAAAUCAGCAUUUGUAAGAUCAUAAUCUUAAGAGACAGCAUUUUUUGUAUUAAGCAGAAAAAGUGAGUUUACUUUGUAGAAGCUGAUAGUUAAUUUGAAAAAGAUCAAAGUAAUUGAUGGAGUAACUACUUUUAUCCUGAAGAGUAAAAUAGAUAUGUUCGCCUUUUGAACUUUCUGAUCCUUCAAGUGCUGGGAUUACAGGCACGCAUUGCCAUUCCUGAUAAUAUUUUUUCCUCUAAAAUAGAGAAGGGCUGGGGAAAUGUGCAGUGAGGAAGUACUUGUUGUGUAAGUGUGAGGACCUGAGUUUGCAUCUUCAGGAUAAAUGUUAAUCAGGCAUGGCAGUGUGUAUUUAAAAUCCCUGUGCUGGUGAUAAUAUUGGUAGAUGUAGACAGAAUCCCUGGAAGACAUUGGACUAAGCAGUUUAGUAUUCACAGCAGUGAAUGGUAAAAAGAGACCUGAUGCCAGGCAAGGUAAAAAGUAAGGACAGAGCCUGGGGUUUCCUCUUACCUCCACAAGUUCAGCACAGGACACGUGCCUACAUUUACACGAGUACAUACAGAUACAUAGGUAGUAUGCGGUAAUCUUAACAAUGCCUUAAAGAGUAGCAAAUAAAUCCAAAAAUAUAACAGUUAAAAAAAGGAGUCUUAUUAUUGACUUACUAUGGUUUUAUGUGCUUUUCUUGCUAAUUUUCAUAAUGAAUUUCUUUCAAAUCAAAAACUGCAUUUUGUGAGUGUUAUAAACUGUAGUUGGAAAAUCUCAAAGUUAGAGAUUUUGUGUUGUUUUUGUUCCUGGGAUUAGAAUGUAGAUGGUCUAUUUGGCGUAUACAUGAAAGCAGUAACAGUGUUUCCCUGUGUUCAUGCCGAGCUGCUGUACACAUUGCUUUGUAUCAGUUUAUGCAGUCUAAGAAAAACAUUCUGAGUGGUUCAAAGUUAAAUAUAAGAUCUAAAGGAUGGGGACAAGGGAUAAGGCAGUUAGUCAGCUGGCAUGGUGGGGCUACCCCUGAGGAUAAAUACCAGCACAGUGGAGCUGGAGGUACUGCUGCAUCUUGUGUACAUGGAACCUAUCCAUACCAUGGACCUCAACCAGCUCAGAAGUAGCAGUACUCCUUACUAAUUGUCAUCAAGUCCCACCCCCACCAUCUUCAACUUACUUUACCCCACCCCUCUUUUGAGUAGCCAGUACAGGUUCAACAUAAACAGUUUAUGCUUUCUUUCCUCCAGUUCUCAUUAGCAAAUUACUCUUAGCUUUUAGAUCUGUUGCACUUGUUUCCAGUUGCUAUCUUGUCUCACUCUUGUUAACUCAAUAAACUUGUUAAUUUCA